rnacentral:rRNA from 1 species
GAUGAACGCUGGCGGCGUGCCUAAUACAUGCAAGUCGAACGCGAGAGGAGGGAGCUUGCUCCCUCUGAUCGAGUGGCGGACGGGUGAGUAACACGUAGGCAACCUGCCCAUCAGUCCGGGAUAACCGCGGGAAACCCUGGCUAAUACCGGAUGAUCCUCUCCACCGCGGGGUGGGGAGUUGAAAGACGGUUUCGGCUGUCGCUGAUGGAUGGGCCUGCGGUGCAUUAGCUGGUUGGCGGGGUAACGGCCCACCAAGGCAACGAUGCGUAGCCGACCUGAGAGGGUGAUCGGCCACACUGGGACUGAGACACGGCCAAGACUCCUACGGGAGGCAGCAGUAGGGAAUCUUCCGCAAUGGACGCAAGUCUGACGGAGCAACGCCGCGUGAGUGAAGAAGGGUUUCGGCUCGUAAAACUCUGUUGUUAAGGAAGAACGACAGGUAGAGUAACUGCUACCUGUGUGACGGUACUUAACCAGAAAGCCACAGCUAACUACGUGCCAGCCGCCGCGGUAC